rnacentral:lncRNA from 1 species
CGCCUGCCGUAAUGAAAGGAUUGGAAGGAGACAAGCUCACUAUAGAGUGUAGAUUCAAGGUAGUGAAAGACCCAAGCACCACAUCCAGUGUUACGUGGUAUAAGACGGGGGCUGAUGGACACAAGAAAGAGCUGAAGAACAGAACAGGCAUUGUCACAACAGCUCUAGAUUCCUCAAAAGGCCUGGCCUCUCUCACCUUGAUCAAAAUCAAUAGAAAUGACUCCGGGCUCUACAGAUGUGACUUUGGUAAAAAUGGCGGUGGAAAUGGAACCAGAGUGACCAUCCAUGCACAUGACCAAAAGCUGAUGAGCUCUUACAUUGUUCCUGGGACUGUGGCUGGGACACUUCUCCUCUUGCUGGUGCUUGGUAUCCUUUUGUGGAGAUGCAGACAGUGCUCCAAAGAACCACUUCAAAGCAGGUCAGAGGCAGAGAUGAAUCAGAUGGAGAUGUGUUCUCCUCCACCAGCUGAUGAGGUGACUUACGUUGACUUGAACUUCCACAAAAGGGACGCAAAAGCGGAGGAAGAGGUUGUUUACACAGAAGUGAAGAUACGGCCAAAACAGAGAGAUGACGAUGACAUCUAUGCAAAAGUCAAACCUAGUCAGCGCUAGGGGAAGAGCUAGUGGGAAUUAACAGAGGGGUGACCAGCAUUUCACAUGUCCAUUAAAUGCAAGACUCCAUGAAACAACGAAUUAGCUCUUAGUAAAAGAUGUCCUUGGAGAUCAAAGUCCUCUAGUUAUGAACAGAACAGGUAGCAAUGCAAGAUUCUCAUUUCCUGCUCCACCAACAUGUCUCAACUCCGAUCUGGAGAGACCAAUUCUGUGGGUAAACGGAGAGUUCUGCUACCCCAUCUAUGCUUGGUCUAUGUGCUGCAAUUGUAGCCAGGAAAUGAGUUGUGCUGUGGACAGUAGUUCACUAGGAACUGAGUCGAGACCAGAAAUUCAUUUAACAAACUCAUCAGCCAUCAGAUUGUAGCAAUUUUUAGUUGCUAUUUACCAGCACUGUAUUUGAACAGUGACCAAGAGCCAAGCCCUGGAGCCACCCAAGUAUGGAAAAUGUUGCCAUCUUGUUGUGGGAAGCGCUGUUCUCCACUGAAGAUGCCAACUGUGCUGAACAAGGAAGGAAAAGCCUCCGAAGAGCCAUGCUCCCUACCCUGGAAGAUGUACAAUAAUGCUGUUAACGCUCAAGAGUGAUUUCUCAUACUUUCAUGAAUGAAAGUGACAUGAUUGUUUAAUCUUUCUAAGCACAAAGCAGGCUUCUCUGUUGGGAGGGAAUUAAGUGGAUGGAAUCCAGGGAAACUUAAGAGCCCAACAACAACAAUAUGAAUUGCUUUAUUAACUAAAGCUUUUACAGCAAGUUUAGCCCAGGGAUUGAGUGUGUGCGAUUGCUCUGAUUUAAAUGGAGUUGUACCUACUUACACCAGGAAUGGAUUUGUCCCCUUGUGUCUGUGAGACUUUACUGUAAAUUUAAAAAGGAAUUGUGUAAUUUAAAAAAAAGCCAUCAUUUCUAGUGGUUCAAGUAGAUUGUGCUUUUAGAUAAAUAAUAAUUUUAGAUAACUCCCCAGAAAAAAACAACCCAAAGGGACAGUUGGGCUCCCAAAAAUGGAAAGACCUCAAAAAAAAGAACAGGAGUGCCUUUGAAAGUCUGUCCAUAACGCAUUGAUUUUUAUGACUAUUGUAGAUGCAUGAGAUAUAACCUGUGGAGACCAUAACUCAUGGAUUUCCAUAAGGAUACAACCAGAAGAAACAGCACAGCAACCAUGUGAACACUUGCAAAAUGUUCUGCUGAUUAUUAAUACCUGCAUCCAUUCAUUAUUAACUAAUACAUGGCAUCAGCCAUUUUCAAGACUGAACUCCCAAAAGAAAAGGCAGCUAUUGAACUGCAUUGUGGUUGCACCAAGACAGGGUUUGGUCCCCUUAUGUGGGGUAGGUCUUUAGCCACAUCAGUUUCAUGAAUGCAAAUGAUGGGUUUUUCAGUGGUAACUGUUGUUCAUUGCCCUGCAGAUCCACCCACGGCAAAUCUGCAGAGGCAGUCCUUCCAGAAGAACUGGGUGACUAAAUACCCACCACGAACACCACAUAUGCUGGGUGGAGACCAAAUUCAAGCCUGGCUGAAGUCAUGAAGGUUUCCACCCAUUUACACCAAGACUGUACAUGUUCCUUAAGAUAUAGAUAAGAAUGGCUAUGCUGGAUCAGAUCAAUGGUUCAUCUAGUCCAGUAUCCUGUCUUUGACCAGUACCAGGUGCUUCAGAGGGAUGAACAGUACAGAACAAUUUCAAGUGAUCUCUCUCCUGUUGUCUAGUCCCCCCUUAUGACAGUUGGAGGUUGAGAGAUACCACACUGAAUGACUAAGCUGAGUACAAAAUAUAUGGAGGUUGGCCUAAACACUACAGCCUGCAGCAGAAUUACCGCUAGCGGUUUAGGCCCUUACUAUACAGGGCUGCAUAUACUUCUGAACACACCAAAUCCUUCCACUUAAAGGCUUCUUCAAAUGCCUCAAAUGCCACAAGAUUGGAAAUAGCUGACUUUGGUUAUUGACAAGACAGUGCAUUAUUAUUAUUUUUGCCAUUAGCAAAAGCCAGAUCCUCCCCCAGCAAAAACCACUGCUGCUUGCUGCAGGAAAGUGAAGUUUAUGAGUCACCCUGAAAAGGGGAAGUAAAGUCAAAGGGUAAAUCCGUGCUGGUGCUGUGCCAGGGUAUUUUUAAUUUGUAACUGAACCGGUAUCUGUAUCAACCUAUCUGAAGAGGGAGAGUUUGGCAGGAAAUCAGCAGUUUGUCAACGUUGAUGAAAACGACUAAUUACCAAUUUAAUAUUUAUUUUACACACAUACACACUCUUAUUCUUGGUCUCUCUUCUUUCCACUAUGAAAUUAAUUAUUCUAUUAUUUUUAAAAGCAGCGUAUUCGAAUGAAAGCUAGGAUUUCCAAAGGCUCCAGUGCGAGCUUUAGACACAACUCUCAGUGAAAGCCAAGGGAGCUGGGCACCUUGCUACAUUAUAUCCCUUUGCCAUCCUCAGUCUAAGGCCCAAGGUCUGUACAUUGAUUGUACAUUGGGUCAGAGCCUCCACGGAGUCAGAACUGAUGAGGAAGUGGAUCCAUAACAUUUAAACAGGAUUUUGUAAACAAGACACUUUCUAAAAGCUCUCGGUCAGAAGUGCCCGUAACCAUCAUCUUGAAUCUACUGGUGUGGCAGGAUUUUUUGGCUUCCAAGGUCUCAGAUGAGCUACGAUCUGCCAACCUUUAGAAGUAACACAGAGUCAAAUGGAAAUGAACACGCUGCAAGUGUGUGGCGAUCUUGCUGCAUAUCCAGCUGAUUGUCUACAACUGGGGUGAGCAAACUAUGGCCAUGUCCGGUCUGUCAAAACUUUUAAUCUUGUCCUUGAUCCUAGCCUCCUGCACCCCAAACCCCUCAUCCGCAAAUCCACCACAAAGCCUACACCCCCAGCCAGAGCCCUCAACCCAGGGCCAGUGCAAGGAUGUUUCGUGCCCUAGGUGAAACUUCCACCUUGCACCCCGCUUCCUCCCACGCGCCUGCCCUGAGGCGCCCCCCUCACGGCAGCUCCCCCCCUCUGCCCUGAGGCACCCCCCUGUGGCAGCUCCCUAC